rnacentral:rRNA from 1 species
UUAGAUUAAGUUAUUAAGGGCGCACGGUGGAUGCCUUGGCACUAGAAGCCGAUGAAGGACGUUACUAACGACGAUAUGCUUUGGGUAGCUGUAAGUAAGCGUUGAUCCAGAGAUUUCCGAAUGGGGGAACCCAACACAAGUUAUGUUGUGUUAUCGACAAGUGAAUUCAUAGCUUGUCAGAAGGCAGACCCGGAGAACUGAAACAUCUUAGUACCCGGAGGAAGAGAAAGAAAAUUCGAUUCCCUGAGUAGCGGCGAGCGAAACGGGAAGAGCCCAAACCAAUAAGCUUGCUUAUUGGGGUUGUAGGACACUCUAUACGGAGUUACAAAGGAAUAUAUUAAACGAAUCAUCUGGAAAGUUGAAUCAAAGAAGGUAAUAAUCCUGUAGUUGAAAAUAUAUUCUCUCUUGAGUGGAUCCUGAGUACGACGGAGCACGUGAAAUUCCGUCGGAAUCUGGGAGGACCAUCUCCUAAGGCUAAAUACUCUCUAGUGACCGAUAGUGAACCAGUACCGUGAGGGAAAGGUGAAAAGUACCCCGGAAGGGGAGUGAAAGAGAACUUGAAACCGUGUGCUUACAAGUAGUCAGAGCCCGUUAAUGGGUGAUGGCGUGCCUUUUGUAGAAUGAACCGGCGAGUUACGAUCUGAUGCAAGGUUAAGCAGAAAAUGUGGAGCCGUAGCGAAAGCGAGUCUGAAUAGGGCGUAUAGUAUUUGGUCGUAGACCCGAAACCAGGUGAUCUACCCAUGGUCAGGUUGAAGUUCAGGUAACACUGAAUGGAGGACCGAACCGACUUACGUUGAAAAGUGAGCGGAUGAACUGUGGGUAGCGGAGAAAUUCCAAUCGAACUUGGAGAUAGCUGGUUCUCUCCGAAAUAGCUUUAGGGCUAGCCUCAAGUGAUGAUUAUUGGAGGUAGAGCACUGUUUGGACGAGGGGCCCCUCUCGGGUUACCGAAUUCAGACAAACUCCGAAUGCCAAUUAAUUUAACUUGGGAGUCAGAACAUGGGUGAUAAGGUCCGUGUUCGAAAGGGAAACAGCCCAGACCACCAGCUAAGGUCCCAAAAUAUAUGUUAAGUGGAAAAGGAUGUGGCGUUGCCCAGACAACUAGGAUGUUGGCUUAGAAGCAGCCAUCAUUUAAAGAGUGCGUAAUAGCUCACUAGUCGAGUGACACUGCGCCGAAAAUGUACCGGGGCUAAACAUAUUACCGAAGCUGUGGAUUGUCCUUUGGACAAUGGUAGGAGAGCGUUCUAAGGGCGUUGAAGCAUGAUCGCAAGGACAUGUGGAGCGCUUAGAAGUGAGAAUGCCGGUGUGAGUAGCGAAAGACGGGUGAGAAUCCCGUCCACCGAUUGACUAAGGUUUCCAGAGGAAGGCUCGUCCGCUCUGGGUUAGUCGGGUCCUAAGCUGAGGCCGACAGGCGUAGGCGAUGGAUAACAGGUUGAUAUUCCUGUACCACCUAUAAUCGUUUUAAUCGAUGGGGGGACGCAGUAGGAUAGGCGAAGCGUACGAUUGGAUUGUACGUCUAAGCAGUGAGAUUGAGUGUUAGGCAAAUCCGGCACUCUUAAGAUUGAGCUGUGAUGGGGAGAGGAAAUUGUUUCCUCGAGUCGUUGAUUUCACACUGCCGAGAAAAGCCUCUAGAUAGAGAUUAGGUGCCCGUACCGCAAACCGACACAGGUAGUCAAGAUGAGAAUUCUAAGGUGAGCGAGCGAACUCUCGUUAAGGAACUCGGCAAAAUGACCCCGUAACUUCGGGAGAAGGGGUGCUCUUUAGGGUGCAAGCCCAGAAGAGCCGCAGUGAAUAGGCCCAAGCGACUGUUUAUCAAAAACACAGGUCUCUGCUAAACCGUAAGGUGAUGUAUAGGGGCUGACGCCUGCCCGGUGCUGGAAGGUUAAGAGGAGUGGUUAGCUUCUGCGAAGCUACGAAUCGAAGCCCCAGUAAACGGCGGCCGUAACUAUAACGGUCCUAAGGUAGCGAAAUUCCUUGUCGGGUAAGUUCCGACCCGCACGAAAGGCGUAACGAUUUGGGCACUGUCUCAACGAGAGACUCGGUGAAAUCAUAGUACCUGUGAAGAUGCAGGUUACCCGCGACAGGACGGAAAGACCCCGUGGAGCUUUACUGUAGCCUGAUAUUGAAAUUCGGCACAGCUUGUACAGGAUAGGUAGGAGCCUUUGAAACGUGAGCGCUAGCUUACGUGGAGGCGUUGGUGGGAUACUACCCUAGCUGUGUUGGCUUUCUAACCCGCACCACUUAUCGUGGUGGGAGACAGUGUCAGGCGGGCAGUUUGACUGGGGCGGUCGCCUCCUAAAAGGUAACGGAGGCGCUCAAAGGUUCCCUCAGAAUGG